GGGAUUCGGUUUCCGUAGCACUAUUCCCCUCAUUUGAAAAAUGUAAUUUCUUUCAUUCACAUGUAAACUAAUGCUGCACUUUACAAACCAUUUAUAGCCUGGAAUGAUGGCUUCACGUUUACUGUCAACAAUCAAGCAAUUUAACUCAAUUUUACUGUUAAUGUAGUGCAGUUAAAUUAAUUAGUCGGAUGUUUCCCUGGAGCCAGAAAUGGAUUAAUACUCAGAGAAUCUCAAUCUUGAUGUCUGUGAUUAUCGAAAUAUGUCCUGUGCCACUUUCAUUGUUUAUUUC